GACGAGCUCUCCAAACGUUAUUCGGUAUCACUGGGCUUAAAGAGUUCGUAGGCGGCAUGAAAAGUAGGGUGUGAAAGCCCUCGGCUCAACCGAGGAAUUGCGCUCUAAACUGUCGUGCUCGAGGAAUCUAGAGGUGAGCGGAACUGAUGGUGGAGCGGUGAAAUGCGUUGAUAUCAUCAGGAACACCGGAGGCGAAGGCGGCUCACUGGGGAUUUUCUGACGCUGAGGAACGAAAGCCAGGGGAGCGAACGGG
rnacentral:rRNA from 1 species